UACGGAGGGUGCAAGCGUUAUCCGGAAUCACUGGGUUUAAAGGGUGCGUAGGCGGCGGCAUAAGUCAGAAGUGAAAGUUGGCAGCUUAACUGCAAAAUUGCUUUUGAUACUGUGUUGCUUGAAUCAAGUUGAGGUUGGCGGAAUGUGACAUGUAGCGGUGAAAUGCUUAGAUAUGUCAUAGAACACCAAUUGCGAAGGCAGCUGACUAGACUUGUAUUGACGCUGAGGCACGAAAGCGUGGGGAGCGAACAGG
rnacentral:rRNA from 1 species